GACAGGAGGGUGCAAACGUUGCUCGGAAUUACUGGGCGUAAAGCGCGUGUAGGUGGAUUGGUGUGUCAGAUGUGAAAGCCCUGGGCUCAACCCAGGAACUGCACCUGAAACUACCAGUCUUGAGUGGUGGAGAGGGAAGUGGAAUUCCUGGUGUAGAGGUGAAAUUCGUAGAUAUCAGGAGGAACACCAGUGGCGAAGGCGGCUUCCUGGACACUAACUGACGCUGAGACGCGAAAGCGUGGGGAGCAAACAGG
rnacentral:rRNA from 1 species